rnacentral:rRNA from 1 species
AUGGAGCGUCCCGCCCACACCGACCCCUCGCGGCGCCCGAGGUCCGGCCACUCGGUGUUGGUCGAGACGCAGGAGAUGGAGCACCAGACGUUCCUCCUGCGUCGCCACGCCGUCCUGCUCGUCUGCACGGCGGAGCGGCACGCGGCGAGCCCCAUGUCGGUGGGGCACGCUUUCAACACCCACAUGCGCACGCCGGCGCACCUGCUUCGGGUCACGAGCCACGACCCGGUGGACUUCCUCGUCCAUUUCGAGCUACCGGCGCAUCGUGACAACGCCGUCCGCCUCGGCUCCAUCGACGUCGACGGCAUCUGCUUCACUAUCAAGCCCUGGCACGAAGAUGAUCACGUCGUCCACCAAGACUUUCUGCUCCAUGUCCGCGUCGUCAUCGAGAAGAUGCCCCUGCAGCUUUGGUCCAUCAAGGGGGCGGAGAAGGUGCUCGGCAAGAAGUGCAUCGUAGACCGGCUCGACUCCGGGACGCUCGAGCGCGGGCACACGAAGACAUUCGCAUGCUGUGUGUGGGUGUGGGAUGUGGCGCUCAUCCCCACCAGGCACACGCUCUGGAGGACGGCCCAGGCGCGGGGCGCAUUGAGGCCAUGCAAGGCUUCUCACCACCGAGCAGGGAGGUCGCCCCUCCGCCGUGCGUCAAGCGCCAUGAUCUGCUCAUCCACGUCGACCUGGUGGAGGACUGGUCCCCGCUGUCGCCGCGCUCAUCACACUUGGCUCAGAGUGGCCUUCCUUCCUCGAGCUCUGAGGAGGGGCGCAAAGUGCCGGAGAUCUGGCCCGGAACCUGGACCAUGCACGUCGAGGACGGCCAAGGGCAUGGACGGCGCCACCCUGCCCUGGUGUCGCCUUUUGGCUGCGGUGGCAUCCAGCUGGGGCCUCGCCGCGACCACGACGACCACGAUAAGGACCGUGGCGGGCGGCGCUCAUGGAAGGAUACCCUCCUCGGCCGCGACAAACUCCCCAAGCGAGAUGCAGCCCCCGUCGCACGCCAGCGCAACUGCACGACGGAAAGCCGCCGCGGUGGGAGGAGGCACGCCCAGCAGCCGACGGUCCUAA